UACGAAGGGGGCUAGCGUUGCUCGGAAUGACUGGGCGUAAAGGGCGCGUAGGCGGUUUGUACAGUCAGAUGUGAAAUUCCCGGGCUCAACCUGGGGGCUGCAUUUGAUACGUGCGGACUUGAGUGGGGAAGAGGGUCGUGGAAUUCCCAGUGUAGAGGUGAAAUUCGUAGAUAUUGGGAAGAACACCGGUGGCGAAGGCGGCGACCUGGUCCUUGACUGACGCUGAGGAGCGAAAGCGUGGGUAGCGAACAGG
rnacentral:rRNA from 1 species